GGGGAGGAGGGAGGUAGAGCGAGCACGAGAGUGAGAACGAGCGGGCGCUAGAGAGAGGGAGAAGGAGCGCGUCUGCGUUGCAAUGGAAUAAAAACUGCGCAAUUUCAAAUCUCCAGCACUUAUUUGAUCCCGCUUUCUUUACAAAAUAAAGCUCUGCUCUUCCCUGCAGCUUCGCCUGAUGUAGAAUGGAUAUACAAGCGUGAUUCCAGUCGCAUUGUGAAUUUAUUUUGCGUUAGAGAUACUCGGAUUAGCGAUUUUAUAAACUGAUGUUGAGAGCAGCCGUGUUGUCAUUUUAGGAACACGUAGCUAGUUAGCCAGCUAUAUGAUACGACUGGCCAUACAUGAAGACAAGGACGGCUGUUUCGCCUGCCAAGAAUUGUAGCUAUAUUAAUUGCUACAACGUUACGCGUAAUGAUGUAUGUAAACGUUCAAACUGUAGCAACGGUUUCGUAAUGUAUCUGCGUGUACGCCUGUGCUCGUGCAGACAUUUUAAAAUGCAUAUGGAUUUUUGGAUGCACAAUCCUAUUACAUAAUUUUGGGGGUACGUUUUAAGGCUGCGUGGCUGCAUGACUGUCAAUCACGAAGGAAAAAUGAAGAUACGGAGUGCAUUUUUAAUCUGCUAAAAUAUUUAAGGAUCAUGACCAUGGUACCUCCCAAACGAAUUCAGCGUUUCACGCCAGUGCAUAACCAAAAAACGCACACAAACAAUCACAACUGUGAAAUGGCACCCUGGACAACCACUAGAAAUGCUCUCACCCCCAAUUCGCCAAUGAGAGAGGGGGUGGUCUGGCAUUGUGGAAAGGCUGGCGGGUGGGUGCUCUCCUGUGAAGAUGGGACCGCAAGCUUCGGCCAAUCGGAGAAGCCGGAAUGUUGCGGUUGGGCGUGGCCUUUGGAACUGGAUUGGAAUGGCUGAUCGAGAAGGCCGGUCAUAAUGUUGACAAGUUCGGCUGCAGGAGGUGUGUCCGGGUUCACUUGACCCCGUCCUGCUUCUCAUCAGCCUGGCAGCCGCUGAGCUGAGCUGUAAACGACCGAUUCCUUUGAAGAGGAGGUUUAUCGAAGCGCUACGGCGGUGUUCUGGAACUCCGCUGUUUUCCGUUCCCAGCAGUGGUUGUGACGUCAGCAUUAGAAUGUUCAGCUGGCACAUUUGAUCGGAAUGUUCUUAUUUGUUAGCCGAGUAAAUUAAUUCUUGCAUUACUCAGUCUUGCUAUGAUUAACGUUGGGCAGAUCCGUAAAUGUACGUUCACUGGCAUUGCUUUCAAAAUUAGCCUCGGACACGCCUAGAAUUCUCCCAGCUGUUGCCGUGGUAAAGGAGGCUUGUUUGUUCCACUGCCGGACUGGUAUUCUGCUUGUAAGCCAAGUGCUUCACCAGCCAUAAGCCUGUGGAGGCCGGGACAAUAAUAAAACAAUACAAAUUAGUUUAUU